CGAAAGUUAGAGGUUCGAAGGCGAUCAGAUACCGCCCUAGUUCUAACCAUAAACGAUGCCAACCAGCGAUCCGCCUGAGUUCCUCAAAUGACUCGGCGGGCAGCUUCCGGGAAACCAAAGUGUUUGGGUUCCGGGGGAAGUAUGGUUGCAAAGCUGAAACUUAAAGGAAUUGACGGAAGGGCACCACCAGGAGUGGAGCCUGCGGCUUAAUUUGACUCAACACGGGAAAACUUACCCGGCCCGGACACUGGAAGGAUUGACAGAUUAAGAGCUCUUUCUUGAUUCAGUGGGUGGUGGUGCAUGGCCGUUCUUAGUUGGUGGAGCGAUUUGUCUGGUUAAUUCCGAUAACGAACGAGACUCUAGCCUACUAAAUAGGCGUUCCGAUCCUUUACGUCGGACGUUCUUCUUAGAGGGACAAGCGGCUUUUAGCCGCACGAGACAGAGCAAUAACAGGUCUGUGAUGCCCUUAGAUGUCCGGGGCCGCACGCGCGCUACACUGAAGGAAUCAGCGUGUGCUUUCCCUGUCUGGUAGGACUGGGUAACCCGUUAAACCUCCUUCGUGAUAGGGAUAGGGGCUUGUAAUUGUUCCCCUUGAACGAGGAAUUCCCAGUAAGCACGAGUCAUAAGCUCGUGUUGAUUACGUCCCUGCCCUUUGUACACACCGCCCGUCGCUACUACCGAUUGAAUGAUUUAGUGAGGUCUUCGGACUGGCGCUCGUAGCGACCUUUGGCCGCGCCGACGUGCCGGAAAGAUGACCAAACUUGAUCAUU
rnacentral:rRNA from 1 species